AGACGGGACCCGCACAAGCGGUGGAUGAUGUGGAUUAAUUCGAUGCAACGCGAAGAACCUUACCUACCCUUGACAUGUCCGGAACUUGCCAGAGAUGGCUUGGUGCCCGAAAGGGAAUCGGAACACAGGUGCUGCAUGGCUGUCGUCAGCUCGUGUCGUGAGAUGUUGGGUUAAGUCCCGCAACGAGCGCAACCCUUAUCAUUAGUUGCUACGCAAGGGCACUCUAAUGAGACUGCCGGUGACAAACCGGAGGAAGUGGGGAUGACGUCAAGUCCUCAUGGCCCUUAUGGGUAGGGCUUCACACGUCAUACAAUGGUCGGUACAGAGGGUUGCCAAGCCGCGAGGCGGAGCCAAUCCCACAAAGCCGAUCGUAGUCCGGAUUGUUCUCUGCAACUCGAGAGCAUGAAGUCGGAAUCGCUAGUAAUCGCAGGUCAGCAUACUGCGGUGAAUACGUUCCCGGGUCUU
rnacentral:rRNA from 1 species